UACGUAGGGUGCAAGCGUUAAUCGGAAUUACUGGGCGUAAAGCGUACGCAGGCGGCUUUGCAAGACAGGUGUGAAAUCCCCGGGCCUAACCUGGGAACUGCAUUUGUGACUGCAUGGCUAGAGUUUGUCAGAGGGGGGUGGAAUUCCACGUGUAGCAGUGAAAUGCGUAGAUAUGUGGAGGAACACCGAUGGCGAAGGCAGCCACCUGGGAUGUGACUGACGCUCAUGUACGAAAGCGUGGGGAGCAAACAGG
rnacentral:rRNA from 1 species